UAACAGGAUUCACAGUUGGGUUUUUAGCUUGUAACAAUCCAUCCAUCAAUCAUAAAAGAACUGCUCCAGGAAACCCAGAGGACAAAAUUCUGCAGGAACAGCCCUGGAGACCCUAGAGCUUGGAGAGGCUGGGGUCAUCCCCUGGAACCGGCCAUUUCUUGCAACGUGGGAAACGGUAACAGCUGAGCAAACAGUGGAGACCCUGUUGUGUUCACCAGUAGUCCACGUGCUGGGUUACUUGGGGGCAGCAUCCCCACAUGCCCACUGCCUUCCAGGGUAUUAAGUGUCAUGUAAACACAGCUCUUCAAUUGCUGCCCGGUUUUUGGCUGGGGCCAGGUUUGAACUCACCACCUCUGGUAUAUGGGACCAACGCUCUACUCCUUGAGCCACAGGUGCUACCCCCAUCUUACUCAUUUUUAAGUCUAUAUUUUGGUCACAUUGCAUGGCAUAUACAGCCAUCACCAGUAUCCAUUGCCGGAACUUUCUCAACAUCCCAAACGGAAACUCUACACUCAUUUCUUUUUGUGGGGGGAUUCUUCCGGUAGAGACCGGAAAACCUGAUAGACGAAUUCUACAAGAGCUGUAACACAAGAUCUGUAACACUAGCUGUAACUCUGUACUCAUUAAACAAUAACUCCCCUUUCUGGCCAUUGCUUCUCCAGCCCCUGCUAUUCUCUACUCGGCUUUCUGUC